rnacentral:rRNA from 1 species
CCUACGGGUGGCAGCAGUGGGGAAUAUUGCACAAUGGCCGAAACCCUGAUCCAGCAACGCCGCGUGAGGGAAGACGGUUUUCGGAUUGUAAACUUCUGUUCUUCGUGAAGAAUAAUGACGGUAGCUAAGGAGCAAGCCACGACUAACUACAGGCCAGCAGCCGCGGUCAUACGUAGGUGGCAAGCGUUGUCCGGAAUUACUGGGGGUAAAGGGAGCGCAGGCGGGAAUCUAAGUCAGCUGUGAAAACUACGGGCUUAACUUGUAGAGUGCAGUUGAAACUGGUGUUCUUGAGUGAAGGAGAGGUUGGCGGAAUGCCGGGUGUAGCGGUGAAAUGCGUAGAUAUUCGGAGGAACACCGGUGGCGAAGGCGGCCAACUGGGCUUUAACUGACGCUGAGGCUCGAAAGCGUGGGGAGCAAACAGGAUUAGAUACCCGAGUAGUC